rnacentral:rRNA from 1 species
GUCUUGUAUUGGAAUGAUGGGAAUUUAAACCUCUUCCAGAGUAUCAAUUGGAGGGCAAGUCUGGUGCCAGCAGCCGCGGUAAUUCCAGCUCCAAUAGCGUAUAUUAAACUUGUUGCAGUUAAAAAGCUCGUAGUUGAAUUUCUGCUGUAUCGUUUUCCUCUGCUUGACAGUUGGAUUUCGUUAUGGCUUAGUUGGGUUACAGUUUCUGUUACCUGACGUUUACUUUGAGAAAAUUAGAGUGCUUCAAGCAGGCUUUUGCCUUGAAUACUUUAGCAUGGAAUAAUGGAGUAGGACUUUGGUUCUAUUUUGUUGGUUUUAGGAGCCAGAGUAAUGGUUAAUAGGAACAGUUGGGGGCAUUCGUAUUUGACUGUCAGAGGUGAAUUC